GGUUUCUUUCAAGAAUCAUGAGAGAACAUUCAAGGAGUGGAUUAUUUGGAAAUUAGAACCUUCAGAUUUCUUAGAAGUGAGGUUACUUUCCAACUAGAAUUAUAGGCAAGCAUUGGUCUUUAAUUUGGAAGUGAUUAUCAUGUCUAAGAAGGGAGAUCAACCCGGUUUGGUGUACAUGAUGUAUGAUCCCUUUUUUAUUGAUUUCUUAUACUAUGUUGACAUGACUUAUUUCACUCAAUUUUCUGGUUUUUUUACACCAUACUUCAUGCGGUAGCCAUACAAGAUCAUUUAUUAUACCAUUGUACUAGCAUAUUACAAAAUCAUUAUGCUAGAUAUAGAUGGAUUAACAUGAAGAUAAUUUCUUUUGUUCUGUUUUUUCACUAGACAUAGAUGCUAUUUAUGCUUCUUUAGCAGUGACAUCAUAGUCAACUUGCAUUUUCUGUCUUUUAGCUACACUACCAAAUCCAGCAACUUUGAUUUGUUCGUACCAUUAGGCUGUAAGGAAAUAUUACUAUAUGUAACAUGUUUUUUUCUUAAGCUACUGUUGUUGCUUCUCAUGUCCGAAAUAUAUUUCUUGAUGCAGCUUCACUCAGAUUUAUGUGAAUAUAAGCGUAAGAGGUCUAGUGGCAAUGCUACAAAAUCAUUGCAGGCGUGAGUAUCCAGAUUGCACUACUGCUGGCCGUUUCUUGCCAUUGCCUACAACAGGCUUCUGACAAAGCCAAGUCAUGGCCUCAUUAGGCCCCUUUUUUCAGCCAAACUGAAAGCACUUCAUGUUAGCUUGUAUUCGCUUUUGGAUUAACUACAAUGCAUUGUACCCAUCCAUGCUCCAGGGAUAUAAUAACAUUGUAGAUAGACGGAGACUGAAUCAGUUCACACUACUUUGAUGUCUAUCGAGCCAAUGGGACAACAAAGUCCUUGCAGAAAAGAAGAACCGGAAGCAGGUUAUCUAUCUUCACGAGCAAGUCGGCGUCUGUAAACCUUCACCAGAGCCAUUCCAGCUCUUUCAGAGCCACAAGGUGAGCCGGAAGUCAGUGCAAGGAAGUUGAGGAACCAAGACCCCAACGGCGCGGAGCAGUUUGCUGUCGAGAGGACUAGGGCUGCCAUCAGGGACCUCUAGACCAAGCUCAACAUCUCCCUCGUGCCUCCAUCAACACCGUGUCUUGGAGGGUCGUCGCCGUCCGCGACGACGAGCUACUGCCGCAGCUUUGUCAGCCGCACGGUUAGAGGGAGGCAUCAAGGGCCCGCCACCGCUGUCGGGGCCGACGUGCGUGUAAUUUCUAUUAAUGUAUCCUAUGUUGCCAAACAACAACAUGCUCCUGUCAAUGCUAUAUCGUUGUGGGUAUGGCAUUUCAGUUUCUUCCUCAGGUGAUAUUCCAAUAUAAUAAGUCCCAUCAAGAAUUGCAUGUACA